rnacentral:pre_miRNA from 7 species
AUUCACUCUAGUGCUUUAUGGCUUUUUAUUCCUAUGUGAUCGUAAUAAAGUCUCAUGUAGGGAUGGAAGCCAUGAAAUACAUUGUGAAAA